rnacentral:rRNA from 1 species
UACGUAGGGUGCGAGCGUUGUCCGGAAUUAUUGGGCGUAAAGGGCUCGUAGGCGGUCUGUCACGUCAGGAGUGAAAACUCGGGGCUCAACCCCGAGCCUGCUUCUGAUACGGGCAGACUGGAGGUAUGCAGGGGAGAACGGAAUUCCUGGUGUAGCGGUGAAAUGCGCAGAUAUCAGGAGGAACACCGGUGGCGAAGGCGGGUCUCUGGGCAGUAACUGACGCUGAGGAGCGAAAGCGUGGGGAGCAAACAGG